rnacentral:rRNA from 1 species
UACGAAGGGUGCAAGCGUUGCUCGGAAUUAUUGGGCGUAAAGGGUAGGUAGGUGGUAAUAAAAGUCUGGGGUGAGAUCCCUGAGCUCAACUCAGGACGUGCCUUGGAAACUUUAUUACUAGAGUGCUGGAGAGGUCCGCAGAAUUCCCGGUGUAGCGGUGAAAUGCGUAGAGAUCGGGAGGAAUACCAGAGGCGAAGGCGGCGGACUGGACAGUCACUGACACUCAACUACGAAAGCGUGGGUAGCAAACAGG